AGCGGGAAAAGCUCAAAUUUAAAAUCUGGCGGUCUUUGGCCGUCCGAGUUGUAGUCUGGAGAAGUGCUUUCCGCGCUGGACCGUGUAUAAGUCUCUUGGAACAGAGCGUCAUAGAGGGUGAGAAUCCCGUCUUUGACACGGACUACCAGUGCUUUGUGAUGCGCUCUCAAAGAGUCGAGUUGUUUGGGAAUGCAGCUCAAAAUGGGUGGUGAAUUCCAUCUAAAGCUAAAUAUUGGCGAGAGACCGAUAGCGAACAAGUACCGUGAGGGAAAGAUGAAAAGCACUUUGGAAAGAGAGUUAAACAGUACGUGAAAUUGCUGAAAGGGAAACGCUUGAAGUCAGUCGCGUCGUCCGGAACUCAGCCUUGCUUUCGCUUGGUGCACUUUCCGGAUGACGGGUCAGCAUCGAUUUUGACCGUCGGAAAAGGGCUAGAGUAAUGUGGCACCUCCGGGUGUGUUAUAGACUCUGGUCGCAUACGGCGGUUGGGAUCGAGGAACGCAGCGCGCCGCAAGGCAGGGGUUCGCCCACUUUCGCGCUUAGGAUGCUGGCAUAAUGGCUUUAAACGACCCGUCUUGAAACACGGACCAAGGAGUCUAACAUACCUGCGAGUGUUUGGGUGGAAAACCCGAGCGCGUAAUGAAAGUGAAAGUUGAGAUCCCUGUCGUGGGGAGCACCGACGCCCGGACCUGACGUUCUCUGACGGAUCCGCGGUAGAGCAUGUAUGUUGGGACCCGAAAGAUGGUGAACUAUGCCUGAAUAGGGUGAAGCCAGAGGAAACUCUGGUGGAGGCUCGUAGCGAUUCUGACGUGCAAAUCGAUCGUCAAAUUUGGGUAUAGGGGCGAAA
rnacentral:rRNA from 1 species